UACGUAGGGUGCGAGCGUUAAUCGGAAUUACUGGGCGUAAAGCGUGCGCAGGCGGUGAUGUAAGACAGAUGUGAAAUCCCCGGGCUCAACCUGGGAACUGCAUUUGUGACUGCAUCGCUGGAGUGCGGCAGAGGGGGAUGGAAUUCCGCGUGUAGCAGUGAAAUGCGUAGAUAUGCGGAGGAACACCGAUGGCGAAGGCAAUCCCCUGGGCCUGCACUGACGCUCAUGCACGAAGCGUGGGGAGCGAACAGG
rnacentral:rRNA from 1 species